GCAGUUAAAUGGUUUGCCUUCUUCAAAAUAUACCAUUUUCCUGUAACAUGUCUGGAAAGAGAGAAGGGAAUCCUAUUGUCAUUCCCAUUGGUGAAAGUCAAAUGUAAGGAUCUGGAUGACAUCCAGUAACAGAACUAAAACCAGUCCUGUGUCAAGACAGUGUAACCACCAGGGGAUUGCAGAUGCCAAGCACAGGACAUAAAGAUGAAUGAACUGAAUACUCUGGCAUCUCCUUUGUUGGCUAUCUGGGCUGUGGAUUCAGGUAUGCAGGAGAAAACAAGUCUACCUGUUUGGUUGCUCGUUCCUUGCAGGAUGUCCAUGGAGGAUAGCAUAUCCAAAGCUCUUAUAAGGAGAUGAAAACCAUGGGCUGGAUUUACUGAGGUCUUCUGCCUUCUUGGGAGCAAACACAGAC